GUAGUCCGCACGGUAAACGAUGGAUGCCCGCUGUUUGCGAUAUACUGUGAGCGGCCAAGAGAAAUCGUUAAGCAUCCCACCUGGGGAGUACGCCGGCAACGGUGAAACUCAAAGGAAUUGACGGGGGCCCGCACAAGCGGAGGAACAUGUGGUUUAAUUCGAUGAUACGCGAGGAACCUUACCCGGGCUUGAACUGCAGGAGAAGGAUACAGAGAUGUUGACGUCCUUCGGGACUCCUGUGGAGGUGCUGCAUGGUUGUCGUCAGCUCGUGCCGUGAGGUGUCGGCUUAAGUGCCAUAACGAGCGCAACCCUUUUCGUCAGUUGCCAUCAGGUGAUGCUGGGCACUCUGGCGACACUGCCACCGUAAGGUGUGA
rnacentral:rRNA from 1 species